CAGUUCUGUUAUUUCUAUCUUGGCACAGAUACGAACCUGGGGACUACAGGCACCCUUGAGCCUGGGAUUCGCUUUGUCAGGGCAGCACACAGUAUGAGAGUGAGACGUGUGCUUUAUUUCACACCUCCAGAAGCUCAGGCUUAGCCUUCAUCUAGUAGGUAAGGCCAUCUCAGCUAACAAUGACAGGGACGACACCGUCAACCUACCACACAACACACAGACUCCCUAAAGUACAGGUGAGCAUGUUCUCACACAGUUAAAAUAAAACACAAGAUGGAGAAACCCAAGCUUUAGCCCGAGCAGCUGCACACCUCCUGACGCCGGCCUGUCGGGUCUCAGUGUUACUGUGACCAAGCCAAGAAUGCCCUGUUUCUCUGGGAACGCACAGAAAACACCAAAGCCUGGUGGACUUUUGAAAACCUCUCCAGAAACUUCUGACUGAGCUCACAAUCCUUGAUGAUGCAGGCAGUGAGAACAUAAGACAAAGGCAGCUCUGUGUCGCUGCUCCAGCCAGCGCUGUACAGCGUGAGCCUGUAUCACACCUCCAGCCACGCACCGAGCACAGAGACACUCCAGGACUGAGGCACAACUGCUAUUGCACCAAAUGGAGGGCAGAGAGAACGCCAUGCGGGUAAUUACCAAGGAGAGCCACACAGCCAGACCCUCAGAUUAUGAGUAAUGGCCACAGUGCGAUGGAAACCUUUGCUUGAAUAAUUUUGAAUGAUGAACACAUUUGAGGAAAUAAUGUUUUCUUUGCAGACCUCCUUUGAUGAAAUGCUAUGGUUUGUUUUGCUUUCUCCCUCAGGGCACUGCUGUCCCCCCAGCUCCAGCCACCCACUGCUGCUGGCAGAGCAGAGGGAGCUGAACAGAGCACACUACUUACUGCUUGUCCAUGGAUACACACAGGGAAAACCCAUGGAUGUGGCUAUCAGGGUUGUGAAGCUGCUGUUCCAUGAACACGCUGGAAGCUGAUGUCAUUCUGAUACUUAGUGUUUGCACGAAGGAAUGCCAGGGAGUCAGUUCAUAGGUGACCAUUUGUCCGUGGCGCUGGGAAGUUGGUCACAGUUCAGCAGCCCUUUCUCCAUUUGGCCAUGCAGGACUCCAAAAACACAGCUCUGGUCUUCCAGGUCCUGAAAGCAGGGCUACAGCCAGCAUCCCUUCUUCUUAGACUGGAAGAAGUAAUUCACACACUGGUUAAAUGGCUGCAGCCAGGGAUCUCACGUCCCCAAGCUGUCCCCGGGGUCAGCAGCACUGGGGGACACAGGAGGCCCCAUCCGCUCUUGCAAGAGCACAUCAGCUUCCUCCGUGGCAGUUCCCAGGCCAGCUGGCAGCAUUAGAUGUUGCUGCUUGGCUCCUUGGCUACUGCAGCUUGUGCCUAUUAGCACCCCAGUGAGUUUCCCAUCCGUCUGACAGGACCCAGUGUAGAUAACGAUGCCAAAGUUGGUCGUAACUGGACAAUUACAGUAUCACUGGGAGACCAGAAAAAUUUCAAUCCAAAUAUCCUUAAUGAAGGACCAGUAGGAACAACAAGAGGCUCCCCAGUCUCCCCUGUCUGUCCCCAAAUGCAAGGCCACUGCCCCAAUGGCAUCAUGACACCCUCAGGGGAGAGCAGGAUCCAGCCAGACAAAUCCCACAGCUGGGGCUCAUGGGCAGAAAUGGGGGUACGAGCUCAGAAAUGGGGUCUCCAUGGGAAAACCUAAACCCACCAUGGCAGACUGCCGAUGCAGAAGCCCCAGCUGACAGCAGGUCUGAGUCUCAGGUUGGUGAGGUGCAGGUUGAGCCUCCUGUGCAGGCAGGGAUGGGGCUGCACACUCAGCACCUGCCUGGUGUCCUCCCAGCUUUACCCACACUUGAAACAUCCUGUCUGUAGGAUCCCUUUAGGAAAACACAGUGAACAAUCUUUACAAGGAGAGAGAUAAAAGAGACACGAAGUACAUCAGAUAGUUCCCUCAGAAAGCUCUCAGUGUUGCAGGGAAGUGCAGGCGGAUGGGUACGGUUUGCCGGGAGAACUACAAAUCCCCAGCACCACUAAUGAGCAGCCAGUCUGUGAAUACAUAAUUUGACGUGGUGUUUUAUUUUCUUUCCAGCUUUGAAUUUAUCCUACCUAGAUUUUAAGGGUUUUGUUCCACAAUGACAGGCCUGCGGAUGAUCCCGAGAGUCCAGAUCCUGCUGUCCUGCUGCAGAAUCCUUCGCUCCUGGCUGACCACAGGGAGUUGGGCAGAGCUUUGCCUUCAGGGGGGGUGUGUGUGCCUCAGUAACGGAUAAUGAACUGACAUUAGCCAGAGAAGGGCUCCUCUAGCUCCUUUCUACCCCGAGGAUGCUUGUGCCAAGCGCAGCUUUCAUAUGGAAAGUGGCGCAUUGUUUAAAUGUAAAUGUUUCAAGAACAGCGAUUUGUGAGAGAGGAAAAAUAAAAUCUCACCUGAGUUGAGCAGCACGGUCUGCUCACAGAGGUUCUUUUUUGCAUCACAGAUCUUGUUGUAGGACACUCUGCUCCCUCCAUCUCUUGGGUAGCUGUGGGAUUUAUUACACAGUUAAUUUAUCUAUAAAUAUAUACUCAUAAAUUUAUACUUGUCUGGUAAUCUCAUUUCUGUGCUGUUCCAUCUCUCCUGGCAAUCCCAUUUUCCCAGGAGGGGAGGAAUCAGUGCCUCAGCCAUGCCAGGAGCUUAAAUGGGCUCCUGGGCCCAUGGAGGGAAGUGGUGUGUGUGUUUGUGUGUAUGGUCCCAGAUGGAGCUGGUCAGGACCAUUAGGACAAUUAGUGCCCUCGGCUCUAGCUGGAGGUUCCUAGAAACCCUGCAUCUCCCACAAGUGUGAUGAUCUGUGCCUGUUCUCAGCAGGUCAGAGGCCGUUGGGUGUUCUGUGACAGUUCCUUGAAGGAGAAAUGCCUCGUCUGGUCCUGCCCCGUGUAUUGCUCUCUUCAUCUCACAAGUGACAGUAAACACCAUAUUAUGAUGACACUGGCAGAAGAGCUGCCGCAGGGUUGCCUCCUGCUUUAUGCUUUCCAGGCAGAGGCCAGCAGCAAGAGAUCAAAAACUGAUUUUCUGUUGCUUCAGAGAUGUGUGGGCUCAAUGAGCCAACAAACCCCAUGGCACUGGGCCCCGCUUAGCGCCCGAGAGCAGAUCACCGACAGGAUGCCGCCGGUGAACCUGCUGCACUCCUGGCCCAGGGACCUGGAGUCACCAAACCUGGAAGACACAAGUCUCCAAAAUGUUAAAUUUGCUGAAAUAUUCAUGUUGCAAAUACAGCUGGUGUAAAAUCUUCAGCGAGGCUACAGUCUGCACAUUCACUCAUGUCAGCUCCAGCAUCACCAGUGGGUCAGCCAGAACCGCUUUGUUCAACUCACAGGAGAUGGCAAGGAGGGGACACAGGGUGUUCCAUGGGUUUAGGUGACACCAGUUCCUUGCAUACAUUACUGAUUCCAAGAAAAACCCCUCCCUGCUCUGGCACAGCAUUAACUGCUCUUGCUAUUGCACUGCUGGAAGCCAGUCAAGGCUGCAGCAUCAUUUCCACAACAGAAGGUGCAACAAGCAAACCGGCAUUAAUCCUGAAUAACGGAUCCAAGGGUGUCAGGGAUGGGCCUCUCCUGCUCCUGGGGAAUGUACCACCCUGGAAAAAGCAGGGAGACCCUGGCCAUGGCAGCAUUUGGUUCAUUUCCCCUAACAUCUCAGUGAGCUGAAGGAGUCACCAGUUCUCAGAAGACAGCUUUGAUGGAAACAACGGUAAUUCACUGAAAUUCACUGAAAUGAUCCUGCCCACAACAAACGUCUGGCCCAAAGGAAGACCCUGCAUCAUGCAAGCAGAAGAGCCUCACACGAGGUCCUGUGUCCCAAAUGGGCACCAUCCCACUGUCCUGCUCUUAGGAAAGCACGUGGAUGCCAGGUGGCAGCGGGCACCAAGGGUGGCUUUGCCAUGGCCAUCCGUGCCCGCCGCCAGGAGCGAGCGGCAGCUCGGCUGGCAGCAGCGGGGACGAGGCAGCUCCAUCCUGAGUGCCAGCACAGCUCUGUGGAUCCACUGCCAUUUGGGAGCCAUCCCAUGCCUUGUGCACCCCCAGGAGCUGCUGGCUCCUUGCACAUGCCCAGCUCUGUGCCAGCCCCACUUGCACCCAGUGCAGCCCCUGCAUCUCCAAGUGUUUAUAGCAUUGCCUGGAGAUGGCAGCAGUGCCAGGGCCAGGCUGUGACAGUGCUGUCAGGGUGACAGCCUGGCCCCAGGGCUGCUGCCCCUGUGAAGCUGGUACAGGUGGGAUGCUCACCCCUUCACUGCAUCCUGGGGGUUGUGGGCGGGUCCCGUCCGGUGUCACAUCGGGAUCCAUCCGGAAGGAGAACAGGAGCCAGUACCCUUGCAGUGUUUAAAUAAGCAAAGUUUUUGUGCAAAGCAGAGGUUAAUGUACUUUAUUGUUCAAUGUCAUGUUUAUAGUGGAUUCUUGGAGGGAAAAAAUGUGAUUAAUUGCCCAGAAACCCAUGGAUCUACAAUUAUUUGGUUGUUGUGAACAAAUAAAGGGCUACAGUAUUCAUCAUAUUCAAAUGAGGCAGUAAAAUAAAUGAUGGCAUGCCGUUUAUGAACAAAACCUCGUCGUGUUCCCUCACAAUCUGAAAAUGUACUCGAAAAAUUGUAAAUGAGAUACAGCCAUUGUCGAGGGCUCACUGGUGAUUUGUCUUUGUGUAAUGUUUUGCAGUGCUGACCCAUCACUUGCCUGUUUUAAUUUAUGUCACAAUAUGCACCUUCAUUAUGCACUUUAUGAAAACGAAGUGCCAAUUUGUAAUAAAGACUUGUUUUCAAUGAAA